UUUUAUUUGAGAGUUUGAUCCUGGCUCAGGAUGAACGCUGGCGGCGUGCCUAACACAUGCAAGUUGAGCGAUUUACUUCGGUAAAGAGCGGCGGACGGGUGAGUAACGCGUGGGUAACCUACCCUGUACACACGGAUAACAUACCGAAAGGUAUGCUAAUACGGGAUAAUAUAUUUGAGAGGCAUCUCUUAAAUAUCAAAGGUGAGCCAGUACAGGAUGGACCCGCGUCUGAUUAGCUAGUUGGUAAGGUAACGGCUUACCAAGGCGACGAUCAGUAGCCGACCUGCGAGGGUGAUCGGCCACAUUGGAACUGAGACACGGUCCAAACUCCUACGGGAGGCAGCAGUGGGGAAUAUUGCACAAUGGGCGAAAGCCUGAUGCAGCAACGCCGCGUGAGUGAUGAAGGCCUUCGGGUCGUAAAACUCUGUCCUCAAGGAAGAUAAUGACGGUACUUGAGGAGGAAGCCCCGGCUAACUACGUGCCAGCAGCCGCGGUAAUACGUAGGGGGCUAGCGUUAUCCGGAUUUACUGGGCGUAAAGGGUGCGUAGGCGGUCUUUCAAGUCAGGAGUGAAAGGCUACGGCUCAACCGUAGUAAGCUCUUGAAACUGGGAGACUUGAGUGCAGGAGAGGAGAGUGGAAUUCCUAGUGUAGCGGUGAAAUGCGUAGAUAUUAGGAGGAACACCAGUUGCGAAGGCGGCUCUCUGGACUGUAACUGACGCUGAGGCACGAAAGCGUGGGGAGCAAACAGGAUUAGAUACCCUGGUAGUCCACGCUGUAAACGAUGAGUACUAGGUGUCGGGGGUUACCCCC
rnacentral:rRNA from 1 species